AGGUGUGAUCAUACCAGCACUAAUGCACCAGAUCUCAUCAAAACUUCGCAGUUAAGCGUAUUGCGGCUAGAGUGGUACUAGGAUGGGUGACCUCCCAUCGCGCUACACUUGACAGGUGCAAUCA
rnacentral:rRNA from 1 species